rnacentral:rRNA from 1 species
AAGACCUUGCGCUUUUGGAGCGGCCGAUGUCUGAUUAGCUAGUUGGUGGGGUAAUGGCCUACCAAAGCUUCGAUCAGUAGCUGGUCUGAGAGGACGGCCAGCCACACUGGGACUGAGACACGGCCCAGACUCCUACGGGAGGCAGCAGUGGGGAAUUUUGGACAAUGGGCGCAAGCCUGAUCCAGCCAUGCCGCGUGAGUGAAGAAGGCCUUCGGGUUGUAAAGCUCUUUCAGCCGGGAAGAAAAGGCUGCGACUAAUAAUCGCAGUUCAUGACGGUACCGGAAGAAGAAGCACCGGCUAACUACGUGCCAGCAGCCGCGGUAAUACGUAGGGUGCGAGCGUUAAUCGGAAUUACUGGGCGUAAAGGGUGCGCGGGCGGUUUUGUAAGUCAGAUGUGAAAUCCCCGGGCUUAACCUGGGAACU